rnacentral:snRNA from 1 species
GUAACUUCUUGCCCCUGAGGGUAAGAUCAAGUGUAGUAUCUGUUUUCAUUAGUUUAAUGUCUGAUCACAUCCUCUGUUCAAAAACAAUAUGAUGAAUGGAUUUUCUGGAGCAGGGAGAUGGCAUAGAAAUUUGUGCUGUCUAUACCACUCAUUGACCUGGUAAUGCAGUACUUCGAGGAUCAAUGCACCGCCC